rnacentral:rRNA from 1 species
ACGCUCGACACCUACGGGAGGCGCAGUGAGGGAUAUUGGUCAAUGGGGGAAACCCUGAACCAGCAACGCCGCGUGAGGGAUGACGGUCUUCGGAUUGUAAACCUCUGUCCUCUGUGAAGAUAAUGACGGUAGCAGAGGAGGAAGCUCCGGCUAACUACGUGCCAGCAGCCGCGGUAAUCUGAGCGGGCUGGCAAGGC